rnacentral:rRNA from 1 species
CCUACGGGAGGCAGCAGUGGGGAAUCUUGGGCAAUGGGCGAAAGCCUGACCCAGCGACGCCGCGUGGGGGAUGAAGGCCUUCGGGUUGUAAACCCCUGUCGGGAGGGAAGAAACCUCGGUGACCUAAUACGUCGCCGACCUGACGGUACCUCCAAAGGAAGCACCGGCUAACUCCGUGCCAGCAGCCGCGGUAAUACGGAGGGUGCAAGCGUUGUUCGGAAUCACUGGGCGUAAAGCGCGUGUAGGCGGCCUCUUAAGUCUGAGGGAAAAGCCCGGGGCCCACCCCCGGAAGGGCAUUGGAAACUGGGAGGCUCGAGUACCGGAGAGGAAGGUGGAAUUCCUGGUGUAGCGGUGAAAUGCGUAGAUAUCAGGAGGAACACCGGUGGCGAAGGCGGCCUUCUGGACGGAUACUGACGCUGAGACGCGAAAGCGUGGGGAGCAAACAGGAUUAGAUCCCCCUGUAGU